rnacentral:rRNA from 1 species
UGAAAUCUGGCUUUCGGGCCCGAGUUGUAAUUUGUAGAGGAUACUUUUGAUGCGGUGCCUUCCGAGUUCCCUGGAACGGGACGCCAUAGAGGGUGAGAGCCCCGUCUGGUUGGAUGCCAAAUCUCUGUAAAGUUCCUUCGACGAGUCGAGUAGUUUGGGAAUGCUGCUCUAAAUGGGAGGUAUAUGUCUUCUAAAGCUAAAUAUUGGCCAGAGACCGAUAGCGCACAAGUAGAGUGAUCGAAAGAUGAAAAGCACUUUGAAAAGAGAGUUAAAAAGUACGUGAAAUUGUUGAAAGGGAAGCGUUUAUGACCAGACUUGGGCUUGGAUAAUCAUCUGGGGUUCUCCCCAGUGCACUUUUCCAGCUCAGGCCAGCAUCAGUUUUCGCCGGGGGAUAAAGGCAGCAGGAAUGUGGCUCUCUUCGGGGAGUGUU